AUGCUCUGCCCUGGCCUGCUGUGGGCAUUCCUGGCCUCCUUUGGCUUCAGAUCCAGCAUUGCUCAGAACAUAAUUCAAGUUCAGACUACAAUAACAAGGCGGGAAGGAGAAACUGUGACCAUGAACUGCAAGUAUGAAAUCAGUUGGGGCAGAUAUGAUGAUUUCUACUGGUACAAACAGCCUCCCAGUGGAGAGAUGGUUUUCCUUAUUUAUCAUGAUUAUUCUAAGCCAAAUGCAAAGCAGGAUUGCUUCUCUGUGAAUUUUCAAAGUGCAAAAAAGUUCAUCAGCCUCAUCAUCUCUCCCUUACAACUGGCAGACUCAGCAACGUACUUCUGUGCUCUCCUGGAUCCCACAGUAAUAGAAAUGACAGUGGAAGAUAAUCAAAAACCUUAG